AUUUAGCCCCGAUAGAAGCGGCAUCCUUUUACUUUUUUCUUUAAAAAGUAAAAGAUACAGCGGAUAGCGGGAAAGAUG
rnacentral:sRNA from 1 species